UAUAAGUUAAAUUGAUACUUCAUUUAUAAGUUCAUUACUCUCAGUAUAUUUGUUUAAUUGAAAAUAUAUAUAUGGUCUUGUUCAUUUGAAUGAAUCUAACCUUGAGAAUGCAGCAAAGUGUGGAUUGAGUCGACCCAUAGGUUGAUUGGGUCGACCCCGGCACAUCAAGAAAUCAUCUGGCACACUCCUGCAAGAAUAGCACAAAUGAACAGUGAGUUGGGUCGACCCAAGGUAAGCAUGAGUCGACCCAACCUCCAAAGAACCUCAAAACACAACAGAAGAAUACUCUCUGGAUUUACUGAGAGGGUCGACCCACACAGUGGUUGAGUCGACCCAAGCUUGAGUCGACCCAAACCCUGAGAGGGUCGACCCAAAUGCAAGACAGAAAGACAGACAGAAAAUGGUUCUCUGGAAUUACUGAGAGGGUCGACCCAAGAAGAAGUUGAGUCGACCCAAGUGAACUUUGAGUCGACCCAAA
rnacentral:lncRNA from 1 species